rnacentral:rRNA from 1 species
CCAAUAGCGUAUAUUAAAGUUGUUGCAGUUAAAAAGCUCGUAGUUGAAUUUCGGGAUUGACACAUCGGUCGUGCCUUAAGGGGUAUGAACUGGUGUAGUCAAUUUCUCACCUUCUGGAGAACCGCGAUGCCCUUUAUUGGGUGCCGUGGGAAACCAGGACCUUUACUUUGAAAAAAUUAGAGUGUUUAAAGCAGGCAUUUUUGCUUGAAUACAUUAGCAUGGAAUAAUAAAAUAGGACGGCAUGGUUCUAUUUUGUUGGUUUCUAGGACCACCGUAAUGAUUAAUAGUGAUAGUUGGGGGCAUUAGUAUUCAAUUGUCAGAGGUGAAAUUCUUGGAUUUAUUGAAGACUAACUACUGCGAAAGCAUUUGCCAAGGAUGUUUUCAUUAAUCAAGAACGAAAGUUAGGGGAUCGAAGACGAUCAGAUACCGUCGUAGUCUUAACCAUAAACUAUGCCGACUAGGAAUCAGACGAUGUUAAUUUUUUAAUGACUCGUUUGGCACCUUACG